GUUCAACCCUGGGGUUGAAAUUUCAACCGGGCCUGCUAGCUGAAAUAAGCAGGGUUGAAAUUUCAACCCCGGGGUUGAAC